GACGAACGCUGGCGGCGUGCCUAAUACAUGCAAGUAGAACGCUGAAGGAGGAGCUUGCUUCUCUGGAUGAGUUGCGAACGGGUGAGUAACGCGUAGGUAACCUGCCUGGUAGCGGGGGAUAACUAUUGGAAACGAUAGCUAAUACCGCAUAAGAGCAGAUGUUGCAUGACAUUUGCUUAAAAGGUGCAAUUGCAUCACUACCAGAUGGACCUGCGUUGUAUUAGCUAGUUGGUGGGGUAACGGCUCACCAAGGCGACGAUACAUAGCCGACCUGAGAGGGUGAUCGGCCACACUGGGACUGAGACACGGCCCAGACUCCUACGGGAGGCAGCAGUAGGGAAGCUUCGGCAAUGGACGGAAGUCGGACCGAGCAACGCCGCGUGAGUGAAGAAGGUUGUCGGAUCGUAAAGCUCUGUUGUAAGAGAAGAACGAGUGUGAGAGUGGAAAGUUCACACUGUGACGGUAUCUUACCAGAAAGGGACGGCUAACUACGUG
rnacentral:rRNA from 1 species